rnacentral:rRNA from 1 species
GGAUGAGAUUGACGAAAGUCUGACGGAGCGACGCCGCGUGCGGGAUGAAGGCCCUUGGGUUGUAAACCGCUGUCAGAGGGGAUGAAAUCUUCGGAGGUACUCCUCCGAAGUUGACAAAGCCUCAAAGGAAGCACGGGCUAAGUACGUGCCAGCAGCCGCGGUAACACGUACUGUGCGAACGUUAUUCGGAAUCACUGGGCUUAAAGGGUGCGUAGGCGGCGAUUCAAGUCAGAUGUGAAAUGCCUGAGCU